rnacentral:snoRNA from 1 species
GAGGUGAUGAAUUGCAUGUAGUCCGUGUUUCUGAUAGCCAGUGAUUAUUAACAUGCUCUGAUAAAA